rnacentral:rRNA from 1 species
UACAGAGGUCUCAAGCGUUGUUCGGAUUCAUUGGGCGUAAAGGGUGCGUAGGUGGCGCUGUAAGUCGGGUGUGAAAUUUCGGAGCUUAACUCCGAAACUGCAUUCGAUACUGCGGUGCUUGAGGACUGGAGAGGAGACUUGAAUUCAUGGUGUAGCAGUGAAAUGCGUAGAGAUCAUGAGGAAGACCAGUGGCGAAGGCGGGUCUCUGGACAGUUCCUGACACUGAGGCACGAAGGCCAGGGGAGCAAACGGG